rnacentral:misc_RNA from 1 species
AACGCACGAGACCUGCGGACCUGCGGAAGGAUCAUUACAGAGUUAUCAUAAACUCCCAAAACCCUUUGUGAACGUUGCUGUUGUUGCCUCGGCGUGGGCGAGAGCUACCCUGGAGCUACCCUGUAGCCAUCCUGGAGCUCGCUGUAAGCCCCGCCGGAGGACCACUAAACUCUGGUUAAUAACUGCGUCUCUCUGAAUGCUUCAACUGAAAUCAGUUAAAACUUUUAGCAACGGAUCUCU